rnacentral:lncRNA from 1 species
GAGGGACACAUGCAGAGAGAUGGAGACACAAGGACAGAGACGUGGAGGUACACACACAGAGAGACGGAGACAUGGGGACCCGCACACUCACACCACACACAUGCGGAGGGACACACACAGAUGGAGACACGGGGACCCGCACGCUCACACCACACACAUGUGGAGGGACACAGGCAGAUAGACAGAGACACGGACAUGCACUCAUGCCACACACGUGGAGGAACACAUGGAUAAACGGGGACACAGGGACACACAUGCUCGCACCACAUACACGCAGAGGGACACAUGCAGACGGAGACACAGGGACACGCGCUCACACCACACAUGCACAGAGGGACACAAGACACCAGGACACACAGGAAUGCACACAUACAGAAUCUGCAGAUCCUCACCACACGGGGUCAUGCACACUCACGUGUCACACAUGCAAAGGUGCACAGGGACAUGCACACCCUCCAACACGUGUGUCACACACACAAAGGUGCACAGGGACACACAAAGGUGCACAGGGACACACAGACCCUCUGACGUGUGUCACACACGCCAAGGUGCACAGGGACACACACGCCCUCCAAUACGUGUCACACACACAAAGGUGCACAGGGACACACACGCCCUCCAAUACGUGUCACACACACAAAGGUGCACAGGGACACACGCGCCCUCCGAGAGCCCUAGCAGCUUGAGCAGGCGCAGCCCCUUCUCAGCCAAACUCUUAGGGAGCCAAAGCUGCCUGGGGAAGGCAGGAAAAGUAGAAAUCCCCAAGGGCAGGGGAUCAGGGAGGGAGGAGGGCUUAGGGAGGAAGGAAAAGAGGAGGAGGGGCGGGGAAGGAGGAGGGGCAGGGAAGGACGAGGGGCGGGGAAGGACGAGGGGAGGGGAAGGAGGAUGGGAGGGGAGGGAGGAGGGGAGGGAGGAGGGGAGGGCCCUGAGGAGGAAAGAGAGGAGGCGCCUCGGGAGGAAGGAGGGGAGGGGCAGGAGGGGCCCCCAGAGCAGCAGCAGCUGCAGCUGCAGGCCGUCCUGUCUGCCCGUUGUCAGCUCCGGGAGGAAGAUGAUGUACCAGCUGGUGGUACACGGUGUCAUGGGCAAGAACACGGUGCUGGAUGUGGCCAGUUCUGAGGAGGAAUUCAAUACCAUGACUGUGAAGUGGCUGAUGAAGUUAGUGUCCAAGGCUGUGCUGAAGGCAGACACCAUGGAUUUCCUUUUGAUGUUUGCCAACUACCGCCUGGACCCGGAGAAAAAGCUCCAGGACUAUCAGAUCAGGAACAAGUCCACCGUCAUCAUUGUGGUGCAGCUUCCUGGUGGGGGCCCAGGCCACCAGGGAUGCGCAGGCCCCGUGUCGGGGGGACACCUGGUUGUGGAGCCCCAUUGGUCCUAGGUUGGCUCAGCUGGGUACUGACAGGGAUGG